GACGAACGCUGGCGGCGUGCUUAACACAUGCAAGUCGAACGGAAAGGCCCUGCUUUUGUGGGGUGCUCGAUUGGCGAACGGGUGAGUAACACGUGAGUAACCUGCCCUUGACUUUGGGAUAACUUCAGGAAACUGGGGCUAAUACCGGAUAGGAGCUCCUGCUGCAUGUUGGGGGUUGGAAAGUUUCGGCGGUUGGGGAUGGACUCGCGGCUUAUCAGCUUGUUGGUGGGGUAGUGGCUUACCAAGGCUUUGACGGGUAGCCGGCCUGAGAGGGUGACCGGCCACAUUGGGACUGAGAUACGGCGCAGACGCCUACGGGAGGCAGCAGUGGGGAAUAUUGCACAAUGGGCGGAAGCCUGAUGCAGCAACGCCGCGUGCGGGAUGACGGCCUUCGGGUUGUAAACCGCUUUCGCCUGUGACGAAGCGUGAGUGACGGUAAUGGGUAAAGAAGCACCGGCUAACUACGUG
rnacentral:rRNA from 1 species